rnacentral:rRNA from 1 species
GAUGAACGCUAGCGACAGGCUUAACACAUGCAAGUCGAGGGGCAGCAUAAAAGUAGCAAUACUUUGGUGGCGACCGGCGCACGGGUGAGUAACGCGUAUGCAACCUACCUAUCAGAGAGGAAUAACCCGGCGAAAGUCGGACUAAUACCGCAUAAAACAGGGGCACCGCAUGGUGAUAUUUGUUAAAGAAAUUCGCUGAUAGAUGGGCAUGCGUUCCAUUAGGUAGUUGGUGAGGUAACGGCUCACCAAGCCGACGAUGGAUAGGGGAGCUGAGAGGUUGGUCCCCCACACUGGUACUGAGACACGGACCAGACUCCUACGGGAGGCAGCAGUGAGGAAUAUUGGUCAAUGGGCGAGAGCCUGAACCAGCCAAGUCGCGUGAAGGAAGAAGGAUCUAUGGUUCGUAAACUUCUUUUGCAGGGGAAUAAAGUGCGGGACGUGUCCUGUUUUGUAUGUACCCUGAGAAUAAGGAUCGGCUAACUCCGUGCCAGCCGCCGCUGUAA